rnacentral:rRNA from 1 species
UACGGAGGGUGCAAGCAUUAAUCGGAAUUACUGGCGUAAAGCGUGCGCAGGCGGUUUUGUAAGUCUGUCGUGAAAUCCCCGGGCUCAACCUGGGAAUUGCGAUGGAGACUGCAAGGCUAGAAUCUGGCAGAGGGGGGUAGAAUUCCACGUGUAGCAGUGAAAUGCGUAGAGAUGUGGAGGAACACCGAUGGCGAAGGCAGCCCCCUGGGAUAACACUGGACGCUCAUGCACGAAAGCGUGGGGAGCAAACAGG